rnacentral:tRNA from 1 species
AAGAUUUUAAGUUAAACAAACUAUUAACCUUCAAAGUUAAAUUUACUCUAAAACUUAAGUAAAUCUUA